rnacentral:rRNA from 1 species
GGGGAAUAUUGGACAAUGGGGGGAACCCUGAUCCAGCCAUGCCGCGUGUGUGAAGAAGGCCUUUUGGUUGUAAAGCACUUUAAGCGAGGAGGAGGCUACCGAGAUUAAUACUCUUGGAUAGUGGACGUUACUCGCAGAAUAAGCACCGGCUAACUCUGUGCCAGCAGCCGCGGUAAUACAGAGGGUGCAAGCGUUAAUCGGAUUUACUGGGCGUAAAGCGCGCGUAGGUGGCCAAUUAAGUCAAAUGUGAAAUCCCCGAGCUCAACUUGGGAAUUGCAUUCGAUACUGGUUGGCUAGAGUAUGGGAGAGGAUGGUAGAAUUCCAGGUGUAGCGGUGAAAUGCGUAGAGAUCUGGAGGAAUACCGAUGGCGAAGGCAGCCAUCUGGCCUAAUACUGACACUGAGGUGCGAAAGCAUGGGGAGCAAACAGGAUUAGAUACCCUGGUAGUCCAUGCCGUAAACGAUGUCUACUAGCCGUUGGGGCCUUUGAGGCUUUAGUGGCGCAGCUAACGCGAUAAGUAGACCGCCUGGGGAGUACGGUCGCAAGACUA